rnacentral:tRNA from 1 species
GUAGACGUUAGCUCAGUGGUUAGAGCACAGCCCUCUGGCUCUCGGGUCCGCGAGUUCGAGUCCCGUCGUCUACU